UACGAAGGGGGCUAGCGUUGUUCGGAAUCACUGGGCUUAAAGGGCGCGUAGGCGGGCUCCCAAGUCGGUGGUGAAAUCUUUCGGCCCAACCGGAAAAGUGCCGCCGAUACUGGGAGUCUCGAGGGAGGUAGGGGUCGAGGGAACUUCCGGUGGAGCGGUGAAAUGCGUAGAUAUCGGAAGGAACGCCGGUGGCGAAAGCGCUCGACUGGACCUCUUCUGACGCUGAGGCGCGAAAGCCAGGGGAGCAAACGGG
rnacentral:rRNA from 1 species